rnacentral:rRNA from 1 species
UACGUAGGGUGCAAGCGUUGUCCGGAAUUAUUGGGCGUAAAGAGCUCGUAGGCGGUUUGUUGCGUCGGCUGUGAAAUCCCGAGGCUCAACCUCGGGUCUAGCAGUUCGAUACGAGCAAACUAGAGUGUUGCAGGGGAGACUGGAAUUCCUGGUGUAGCGGUGAAAUGCGCCAGAGUAUCAGGAGGAACACCGGUGGCGAAGGCGGGUCUCUGGGC